CGCAUUCAUGCUUUUGCAUUAAAUUUUGUUGACAUGAGUGGUUGGACUGAAGUUGAAAAAUAUUUCAAAGUGAUUUUAAAAUGGAUUGGAAUAUGUCUUGAAGUAAAGGAAUAAAAAAAAACAAAACCCCUCCUCUCUCGGUUCUGGCCGCAGGCCAGAAUUCCUGUCCCCUUUCUCUUUCCCCCUCUCUGCUUCGGCCCGAGUGGCCAUCUCUCUCUCGGCCCAAACCCUCCCCCUCUCCCUCGGCCCAUUGGCCUGCUCCCGCAAUCGGCCCACUGGCCGCGCGCGUGAGGCACAGCCCAGCUUGGACCAGCCCCGCGCCACCCCUUUCCCUUCUCUCCCUGACAGCCCGACCUCGCUGUUUCUCUGACUGUCAACCGAGCCCCGCUUGUCAGCCGCCCUUCCCUUCUUCAACCCCG
rnacentral:lncRNA from 1 species